rnacentral:rRNA from 1 species
AUGACGAGAGUGAAGAAUAUUUACUAUGUACUUCCAGGAGAACCUGAACCGAAGCACACCAUGUCAAACACUCACAACAUUGGGAAGGUGGUGUUCCUAACAGCUGUUGCCAAGCCUCGAUAUAACAAUGAGGGGGAGCUAACAUUCGAUGGGAAGAUCAGCAUUUGGGCAUUCGUCGAAGAGACUAAGGCAAAGCGGACAAGUCAAAACAGAACAAAGGGAACAAAAGUGUUGACAUCAGUGAAAGUAACCAGGCCUAUGUGCAGAGAUUAUCUAAUCAAUAAGGUUAUCCCGGCAAUUCAGGAUAAGUGGCCUGACGAUGAUGAGGGAGCAACAAUAUUCAUCCAACAGGAUAACGCAAAGCCUCAUGUCCUUCCCAAUGAUGUAGCUUUUCGAGAAGCUGUGGGACAAACUUAUCUUGACAUCCGAUUGCUACAAUAG